UCUAGUACAAUAUCACAUUUUCUUUCUAAACAAGCCGUAGAAUCCAGUUCCUUCCCCUGUAUCCAUUACCCUACAUUAAUUGAGUCCCAAAACAUGAUCUUCUUUUAAAAUGGAGUCUCAACUUCUCAACAAUUCAGCCUCAAAUCUCGAUAUUUAUUCCGAAAAUUAUCCUUCUCCCUCUUCUUCACCCCUUCCUCGUAAAAAUCUCACAAAAUUGAUUUGUGAGGAUGAUCCCAACUUAUCCCAAUUUGUUGAAACCCAAACGGGUAAUCUUAAAGAGAAAUUUAUGAAGGAAAUAGUUGAAGAUACGCCUGAUAGGAUUAUUGAGCAUGCAAUAUGUUAAACCUAAGAAGAACACAUUAAAGCCGAAAAAAUUGCAGUUCGAGGACCCAACUGGAAUGAUGCAAAUUUAACUCCCACAAAUCGUUGGCCACACCAGAUGAUGACAUUGAAGUGUUGAAGUGCUCACCAUUCUGAACUUCUUCCAAAUCUAAAAAUAUAGACCCACUUUCCAUUUUUAGCUCUGUUGUGUUUUGAAAUGUAUAUAUGGAGAAAGAUUUGUUAUGAGGUUGCUUAUUUAUAGUAAAUGGGUGCUGUGGAGGCAAACCCAAAUUUUUUGUGAUCAAUUCGUAUUGAUUUAGGCGGAUGUAGUAAUCUGCUUUCCGUCCAUAAUUAAUCUCGUGUAAAGUCAAUACCAUGUAUAGUGUUUUGUUUAAAUAUUAAUUUAUUUACUCAGUUUAUUUAUUUUAUUAAC